UGGCGGACGGGUGAGUAAUGUCUGGGAAACUGCCUGAUGGAGGGGGAUAACUACUGGAAACGGUAGCUAAUACCGCAUAACGUGCAAGACCAAAGAGGGGGACCUUCGGGCCUCUUGCCAUCGGAUGUGCCCAGAUGGGAUUAGCUAGUAGGUGGGGUAACGGCUCACCUAGGCGACGAUCCCUAGCUGGUCUGAGAGGAUGACCAGCCACACUGGAACUGAGACACGGUCCAG
rnacentral:rRNA from 1 species